AUUGAACGCUGGCGGCAGGCCUAACACAUGCAAGUCGAGCGGAUGAAGGGAGCUUGCUCCUGGAUUCAGCGGCGGACGGGUGAGUAAUGCCUAGGAUUCUGCCUGGUAGUGGGGGAUAACGUCCGGAAACGGGCGCUAAUACCGCAUACGUCCUGAGGGAGAAAGUGGGGGAUCUUCGGACCUCACGCUAUCAGAUGAGCCUAGGUCGGAUUAGCUAGUUGGUGGGGUAAAGGCCUACCAAGGCGACGAUCCGUAACUGGUCUGAGAGGAUGAUCAGUCACACUGGAACUGAGACACGGUCCAGACUCCUACGGGAGGCAGCAGUGGGGAAUAUUGGACAAUGGGCGAAAGCCUGAUCCAGCCAUGCCGCGUGUGUGAAGAAGGUCUUCGGAUUGUAAAGCACUUUAAGGUGGGAGGAAGGGCAGUAAGUUAAUACCUUGCUGUUUUGACGUUACCAACAGAAUAAGCACCGGCUAACUUCGUG
rnacentral:rRNA from 1 species